GACUUUAGGAAGAGAAGCAUCAGACGAACGAGGGCAGGAGAAGAGACGCACGAAUUGGACGAUCACAGAAGGAACGAAGAUACUCAGGGACGAAAAAAGGUUUGAAUAUGUACCACCCGUCCUGGUGCGAAUGAAGCAAAAACGAGUAAUAUGGAAAUGACCAGCCAGUUGAGUAGAGUAGGAUGCCAGUGACCGAAUUAAAAUCACCGCUAUUUUCAGUGAUUGGGCCGAACCCGCUAUCUCUAGCAAUAAAAAGCUGCAUAUAAUAAUUAGAGGGAAUGGGCCAUGGAUUUACUUUUUGGCGGCUGUUAAUCACGUGAAUGAGGAGAGGCCCAAUAUAUAACAUUCAUCGACAGUAGACAUUAUUAAAAUUAAAAGUGAAUAUUAUUUCUUUUAGGGGCAAUUAG
rnacentral:lncRNA from 1 species